GAUGAACGCUAGCUACAGGCUUAACACAUGCAAGUCGAGGGGUAACGAGAGGGAAGCUUGCUUUCCUUGUCGACGACCGGCGCACGGGUGAGUAACGCGUAUCCAACCUGCCCCCAACUAGGGAAUAACCUUGCGAAAGUAAGACUAAUACCCUAUAGUUUCCUCAGAUGUCAUCUGACGAGGAAUAAAGAUUUAUCGGUUGUGGAUGGGGAUGCGUCUGAUUAGCUCGUUGGCGGGGUAACGGCCCACCAAGGCAACGAUCAGUAGGGGUUCUGAGAGGAAGGUCCCCCACAGUGGAACUGAGACACGGUCCAAACUCCUACGGGAGGCAGCAGUGAGGAAUAUUGGUCAAUGGGCGGAAGCCUGAACCAGCCAAGUAGCGUGCAGGAUGACGGCCCUAUGGGUUGUAAACUGCUUUUAUACAGGAAUAAAGUUAGCCACGUGUGGUUAUUUGUAGGUACUGUAUGAAUAAGGACCGGCUAAUUCCGUGCCAGCAGCCGCGGUAA
rnacentral:rRNA from 1 species